rnacentral:lncRNA from 13 species
CUGGGGCUGCUGGGCCCCUCUUGCUUUCUUAUCCCUGCAGGGAGACAUCCCCUUUGCUUCAGGCUGAUCCCUCUGGGGAAUGGGUGGUGGAGGCCAGAUGUUUCCUUCCCUCCUUUAUGUGACCGUGCUGGUUUUCUUUGCUCUCCUGGAUUUCUGCUAGUCCUUGGUGUACUUCUGGGGCUCUCCUUUAGUGACUUUCAUCAAAAUCUCAUUGUGUGCUGCUUUAGCUGUCUUUGUUGGAGGAUGAGCACAAACGGCUAUUGGUCGGCCCCUUGCUGACAUCACUCACUCUUAAACUUUUCACUGGGUACUCUUCUGAACUAUUUUCCCCCCACCAUAUACAUGUGUUUUUAAAACAUUAAUGUGGUAAUUUCUGUUGAAGUAAUGUGGGUUUUUAUGAAAGUUUGAAUGUUUUAAUAAGCUUUUUAUUGAAAUGUUAAUGUACAUACAGAAGAGUGCCCGAAUCCUAAGUGUGCAGCUAGACAAACUGUGUGGCACACCAAGCUACCACGCCCUGGACCAAGCAGUAGCCUCGCCCUGUGUCCUCUCCCAGGCAGCCGUAAGUGCUGGAUAUGUUUUGAAAACAUUGAACCUCGAGUGUACAUAUCAUUCCACACCACUAAACAUUCUCAUUUCAUCAUCCAUGUGUUCAGGUGAGUUUGGUUUCUAUUUGUGGAUGUACUAGAUUGUUUCUCUUUUUAACAACACGUGAAGUUGCUUUACUUAAGUAUUAUCAUUUGGUGACAUGCCUGCCGUUUCAGAACUAAAUUUUUGUGGAAAGAAGGAAGCCGCGGGGCCUGGUUCAGCUCUCUGGAGGCUUCAGAGCUUACCCCGCUGAUGGGAAAAGAGCAUCGGCUUAGUUGGCCUUGCCACGGUGGCCCUUCAUCCCUCAGUGCACUUGCCUGGGGGCCCCAGCACAGGCAGUUCCCCUUGCCUGGGGGCCCCUGCACAGGCAGUUCCCCCCACCUGGAAUGCAACAGCUCCCACGUCCCCCUCUCGGGCUCCACCUGGUCCCACUCCUCCUUCUGACGGUGGCCCCGCGACCGCUAGUCAGUGCGGCCUUCCCUGGACCCUCUCCUGACUCCCAUCUACUCCUCCACACUUUUCUCCGGUAAACUAGUGGCACUCAAUUUUGCCACCCUGGGAUUUUCACGACCCUGUCAGCGGCUGGGUGAGGUCCAGUCAAGUGUGCUUCGUGACAACAGGGAGACAUCACUGACCCCUUUUGACUGGAAGCGGGAUCGCCUUGCCGGUGAGCAGCGGCCCAGGAUGGGCUGUGUUAGACGUGACAGCUAGCACACUGAAGCACCGGCACUUCCCAUACUUUUUAUUUUUAUGCUUUGGAAAAUAUUUCUCACAAAAAUAUGUGACUUAAGUUACCGUGUAAUGGACUUGCUUCUGUUAUUUUAUUUUAAAACAAACACUGAAUCUCUUAAAUGUUUCUCGGCUUUAUUUUGUCAUGGCUCAUUUUCCUCUCUUUGCCCCAGCUUUAUGAAGGUAUAAUCGACAAAGGUGCAUAUCUGUACUGUUC